rnacentral:rRNA from 1 species
UACGUAGGUGGCAAGCGUUGUCCGGAAUCACUGGGCGUAAAGGGCGCGCAGGCGGGUAAUUAAGUCAGGUGUGAAAACUCUGAGCUUAACUCAGAGAUUGCAUUUGAUACUGGAUAUCUUGAGUGCAGGAGAGGGCAGUGGAAUUCCUAGUGUAGCGGUGAAAUGCGUAGAUAUUAGGAGGAACACCAGUGGCGAAGGCGGCUGCCUGGACUGUAACUGACGCUGAGGCGCGAAAGUGUGGGUAGCAAACAGG